UACGAAGGGGGCUAGCGUUGUUCGGAAUUACUGGGCGUAAAGCGUGCGCAGGCGGCCUCUCAAGUCAGGGGUGAAAGCCCAGAGCUCAACUCUGGAACUGCCUUUGAGACUGAGAGGCUUGAGUACGGGAGAGGUGAGUGGAAUUCCCCGUGUAGAGGUGAAAUUCGUAGAUAUUGGGAAGAACACCGGUGGCGAAGGCGGCUCACUGGCCCGAAACUGGACGCUCAUGCACGACAGCGUGGGGAUCAAACAGG
rnacentral:rRNA from 1 species